AAGAAAGGUGCAACACAUCAGAUUGCAGUAACUUUUAUUGGAAGACUAAAUUCUGCUGUUAAUCAGGACAAUUGAGAAACUGAUUAUUUUUAUUAUUAUUAUUCCCACGUCAGAGAUAACUAACUGAGGCAGUGGGGUUAAAAAGGAAAGAAGUAGCGCCUACCGGUAGAGACCAAGGCAUGGAAGGAAGAUCAUGCUGUACUCCCACACUUUCCUAACUGCUUUCGAGGUUUCUUCUGAGCCUAGGCACAAGCAGUUGCUGCGAAUGACUGCACGGUCCCUCUUGGAACAUAGGUGGGAGUUAGAAAAGCCUGAAGACUUCUGAAAGAAAGGAAAGGGAGGAAAUGCCAUUUGCAUUAUUUAACCUGGGAGAGACCAGCAUCACUCAUGAGAAGAUUCUUGUGACCAACUGGAUUCUGCCUCUAUUUGGUUUUGAACAUCCAUAAGAGUGGCUCUUCUAAGCACUAUUUAGGCUUUGAUCUCUUACAGCCAAGAAUGCAGUUUUAACUCAGAAAGGUGAUGAAAUUGCCAGUGUGGUUCAAUGGCAAAACCCAAGUGAAAUAAAAGCUGGCAGGAGUGA